rnacentral:rRNA from 1 species
CCUACGGGAGGCAGCAGUGAGGAAUAUUGGUCAAUGGGCGGGAGCCUGAACCAGCCAAGUCGCGUGAGGGAAGACGGUCCUAUGGAUUGUAAACCUCUUUAGGCGGGGAGCAAUGCCGGGCACGUGUGCCCGGAGGGAGAGUACCCGCAGAAUAAGCAUCGGCUAACUCCGUGCCGGCAGCCGCGGUAAUAUGGAGGAUGCGAGCGUUAUCCGGAUUUAUUGGGUUUAAAGGGUGCGUAGGCGGAUUUUUAAGUCAGCGGUAAAAUGUCCGGGCUCAACCCGGGCCGGCCGUUGAAACUGGGGAUCUUGAGUGGGCGAGAAGUAGGCGGAAUGCGUGGUGUAGCGGUGAAAUGCAUAGAUAUCACGCAGAACUCCGAUUGCGAAGGCAGCAUACCGGCGCCCGACUGACGCUGAGGCACGAAAGCGUGGGGAUCGAACAGGAUUAGAUACCCCAGUAGUC